GGUUGUGGCUCAGUGGUAGAGCGCUUGCCUGGCAUUUGUGAGGCCCUGCGUUCAAUCCUCAGCACCA
rnacentral:tRNA from 1 species